AAAUUGAAGAGUUUGAUCAUGGCUCAGAUUGAACGCUGGCGGCAGGCCUAACACAUGCAAGUCGAACGGUAACAGGAAACAGCUUGCUGUUUCGAUGACGAGUGGCGGACGGGUGAGUAAUGUCUGGGAAACUGCCUGAUGGAGGGGGAUAACUACUGGAAACGGUAGCUAAUACCGCAUAACGUCGCAAGACCAAAGAGGGGGACCUUCG
rnacentral:rRNA from 1 species